GUCCACAUAGCUUAACCACAAAGCAUGG
rnacentral:tRNA from 1 species